GCGAACAGAUAAGGAGCUUGCUCCUUUGACGUUAGCGGCGGACGGGUGAGUAACACGUGGGUAACCUACCUAUAAGACUGGGAUAACUUCGGGAAACCGGAGCUAAUACCGGAUAACAUUUGGAACCGCAUGGUUCUAAAGUGAAAGAUGGUUUUGCUAUCACUUAUAGAUGGACCCGCGCCGUAUUAGCUAGUUGGUAAGGUAACGGCUUACCAAGGCGACGAUACGUAGCCGACCUGAGAGGGUGAUCGGCCACACUGGAACUGAGACACGGUCCAGACUCCUACGGGAGGCAGCAGUAGGGAAUCUUCCGCAAUGGGCGAAAGCCUGACGGAGCAACGCCGCGUGAGUGAUGAAGGGUUUCGGCUCGUAAAACUCUGUUAUUAGGGAAGAACAAACGUGUAAGUAACUGUGCACGUCUUGACGGUACCUAAUCAGAAAGCCACGGCUAACUACGUGCCAGCAGCCGCGGUAAUACGUAGGUGGCAAGCGUUAUCCGGAAUUAUUGGGCGUAAAGCGCGCGUAGGCGGUUUCUUAAGUCUGAUGUGAAAGCCCACGGCUCAACCGUGGAGGGUCAUUGGAAACUGGGAAACUUGAGUGCAGAAGAGGAAAGUGGAAUUCCAUGUGUAGCGGUGAAAUGCGCAGAGAUAUGGAGGAACACCAGUGGCGAAGGCGACUUUCUGGUCUGUAACUGACGCUGAUGUGCGAAAGCGUGGGGAUCAAACAGGAUUAGAUACCCUGGUAGUCCACGCCGUAAACGAUGAGUGCUAAGUGUUAGGGGGUUUCCGCCCCUUAGUGCUGCAGCUAACGCAUUAAGCACUCCGCCUGGGGAGUACGACCGCAAGGUUGAAACUCAAAGGAAUUGACGGGGACCCGCACAAGCGGUGGAGCAUGUGGUUUAAUUCGAAGCAACGCGAAGAACCUUACCAAAUCUUGACAUCCUUUGAAAACUCUAGAGAUAGAGCCUUCCCCUUCGGGGGACAAAGUGACAGGUGGUGCAUGGUUGUCGUCAGCUCGUGUCGUGAGAUGUUGGGUUAAGUCCCGCAACGAGCGCAACCCUUAAGCUUAGUUGCCAUCAUUAAGUUGGGCACUCUAGGUUGACUGCCGGUGACAAACCGGAGGAAGGUGGGGAUGACGUCAAAUCAUCAUGCCCCUUAUGAUUUGGGCUACACACGUGCUACAAUGGACAAUACAAAGGGCAGCUAAACCGCGAGGUCAUGCAAAUCCCAUAAAGUUGUUCUCAGUUCGGAUUGUAGUCUGCAACUCGACUACAUGAAGCUGGAAUCGCUAGUAAUCGUAGAUCAGCAUGCUACGGUGAAUACGUUCCCGGGUCUUGUACACACCGCCCGUCACACCACGAGAGUUUGU
rnacentral:rRNA from 1 species